CUGAUCUUUCGGUUAUUGAAAACGGCCAUGGAUGGCACAGCUCAAAACCUAAACCUGGCAUCUCUCUCUCUCUCUCUCUCUCUCUCUCUCUCUCUCUCUCUUAUAGAGUUAAACCCUAAAUCAUUUUCAUCUUCUUACGAAGCUUCCCCCGUAGAUGCAGAUUUGUGUAUUCUAAUGUGGAUCUUAGCUAUUUCUCAAAGCGAGUAGAAAUCUGAAAACAGUAAUUUUUGACAGAAUGGAAGAUGAUGAAAUAUAGCAGGUACUUAAGAGGUAUUCAUAGCUUAAGAUGUUCUCCUGGUGCAGCCAUUGUAGUUGUGCCGAGCUUCUAAAGUUAUGCCAUAUGAUUAUACAUCAAUUGCUUGCUGAUUCCUUCUGUCAAUCUAGCAUAAGGCUUAAUCAUGUUUUUAAUCGUUAUAUGGCAAAAACAAAAGACCUAUAUCAAAUUCUAUAAUGUUGAAAAUAAACUUUCAUAUUGGUGCC